rnacentral:rRNA from 1 species
ACGCUCGACACCUACGGGGGCAGCAGUGGGGAAUAUUGCACAAUGGGGGAAACCCUGAUGCAGCGACGCCGCGUGGAGGAAGAAGGUCUUCGGAUUGUAAACUCCUGUUGUUGGGGAAAAAGAGGAUGGUACCCAACAAGGAAGUGACGGCUAACUACGUGCCAGCAGCCGCGGUAAUCUGAGCGGGCUGGCAAGGC